AGAGGAGCCAAGCGUUGUCCGGAUUGACUGGGCGUAAAGCGCACGCAGGCGGACGCGCGCGUGGGGUGUGAAAUGUGGCCGCUUAACGGCCAGGCGCCAUCCCAUACGGCGCGUCUGGAGUGAUGCAGAGGUCGAUGGAAUUGCCGGUGUAGUGGUGAAAUGCGUAGAGAUCGGCAGGAACACCCAGGGGGAAACCAGUCGACUGGGCAUCUACUGACGCUGAGGUGCGAGAGCGUGGGGAGCGAACCGGAUUAGAUACCCGGGUAGUCCACGCCGUAAACGAUGGCCACUCGGCCUUUGGUGGCGGAAUCUCCGUCGCUGGGGGCCUUAGCUAACGCGGGAAGUGGCCCGCCUGGGAACUACGAGCGCAAGCUUA
rnacentral:rRNA from 1 species